UGCGUAGGCGGAUUAAUAAGUCAGUGGUGAAAUCUUUCGGCUCAACCGAGAAACUGCCAUUGAUACUGUUGAUCUUGAGUUCGGUUGGGGUAGGCGGAAUGUGUAAUGUAGCGGUGAAAUGCUUAGAUAUUACACAGAACACCAAUUGCGUAGGCAGCUUACUAGACCGACACUGACGCUGAGGCACGAAAGCGUGGGGAGCGAACAGGAUUAGAUACCCUGGUAGUCC
rnacentral:rRNA from 1 species